AGACUCAAAUAUAUUAAAUAGAUGCAUCUAGGACUAUGAUGUUGAAGCCUGUAUAGCCAUUAUGCAUUAUUACAGUAAUGUUAUAGUGUGUAUGUGUGUUUAUACUGGUUGAGUCGUACCUAUUUGUUUGUCCCAUUAUAAAGGACACUAGCUUCUUAAAUGGACAAAUUGCGUCUAGCAAUAAUGAGAUUGAGCAAUAACAGGUCUGUGAUGCCCUUAGAUGUCCUGGGCUGCACGCGCGCUACAAUGAAAGUAUCAACGUGUAUUUCCUAAACCGAGAGGUUUGGGUAAACCGCUGAAUCACUUUCAUGUUUGGGAUUGUGAACUGAAACUGUUCACAUGAACCUGGAAUUCCCAGUAAGUGCGAGUCAUUAACUCGUAUUGAUUACGUCCCUGCCCUUUGUACACACCGCCCGUCGCUACUACCGAUUGAAUUAUUUAGUGAGGUCUCCGGACGUGAUCACUUUGACGCGUUUGUGUUGAGGAUGUUUCACAAAAGUUGACCGAACUUGAUUAUUUAGAGGAA
rnacentral:rRNA from 1 species